rnacentral:rRNA from 1 species
GACGAACGCUGGCGGCGUGCUUAACACAUGCAAGUCGAACGGAAAGGCCCUGCUUUUGUGGGGUGCUCGAGCGGCGAACGGGUGAGUAACACGUGAGUAACCUGCCCUUGACUUUGGGAUAACUUCAGGAAACUGGGGCUAAUACCGGAUAGGAGCUCCUGCUGCAUGGUGGGGGUUGGAAAGUUUCGGCGGUUGGGGAUGGACUCGCGGCUUAUCAGCUUGUUGGUGGGGUAGUGGCUUACCAAGGCUUUGACGGGUAGCCGGCCUGAGAGGGUGGCCGGCCACAUUGGGACUGAGAUACGGCCCAGACUCCUACGGGAGGCAGCAGUGGGGAAUCUUGCGCAAUGGGCGGAAGCCUGAUGCAGCGACGCCGCGUGCGGGAUGACGGCCUUCGGGUUGUAAACCGCUUUCGCCUGUGACGAAGCGUGAGUGACGGUAAUGGGUAAAGAAGCACCGGCUAACUACGUG